AUUGAACGCUAGCGGCAGGCCUAAUACAUGCAAGUCGAACGGUGUCUUCGGACAUAGUGGCGCACGGGUGCGUAACACGUAUGCAACCUACCUUACAUUGGGGGAUAGCCUUUCGAAAGGGAGAUUAAUACCGCAUAAGACAGUAGCUGGGCAUCCAGCAGCUGUUAAAGAUUUAUCGAUGUAAGCUGGGCAUGCGUCCAAUUAGCUAGUUGGUGAGGUAACGGCUCACCAAGGCAAUGAUUGGUAGGGGAACUGAGAGGUCAAUCCCCCACACUGGCACUGAGAUACGGGCCAGACUCCUACGGGAGGCAGCAGUAGGGAAUAUUGGGCAAUGGACGCAAGUCUGACCCAGCCAUGCCGCGUGCAGGAUGAAGGCGUUAUGCGUUGUAAACUGCUUUUAUACAGGAAGAAACGACUCUUGCGAGAGGCAUUGACGGUACUGUAUGAAUAAGCACCGGCUAACUCCGUGCCAGCCGCCGCGGUAAUAC
rnacentral:rRNA from 1 species